GACGAACGCUGGCGGCGUGCUUAACACAUGCAAGUCGAACGGAAAGGCCCUGCUUUUGUGGGGUGCUCGAGUGGCGAACGGGUGAGUAACACGUGAGUAACCUGCCCUUGACUUUGGGAUAACUUCAGGAAACUGGGGCUAAUACCGGAUAGGAGCUCCUGCUGCAUGGUGGGGGUUGGAAAGUUUCGGCGGGUGGGGAUGGACUCGCGGCUUAUCAGCUUGUUGGUGGGGUAGUGGCUUACCAAGGCUUUGACGGGUAGCCGGCCUGAGAGGGUGACCGGCCACAUGGGGACUGAGAGACGGCCCAGACUCCAACGGGAGGCAGCAGUGGGGAAUAUUGCACAAUGGGCGGAAGCCUGAGGAAGCAACGCCGCGUGCGGGAUGACGGCCUUCGGGUUGUAAACCGCUUUCGCCUGUGACGAAGCGUGAGUGACGGUAAUGGGUAAAGAAGCACCGGCUAACUACGUG
rnacentral:rRNA from 1 species